GUGGUGUGUGUGUAGCACUUAAUUGCAGGCAGGAAGGAAAAGAUACUUUUGAUAACCGACAGGCAGCUUUUCUCUGCUUUUGUGUCAAAAGGGAGGAAGGGAGUUUGGAGAGGGAAAUGAAUUCUCUGUAACACUAAGCUCUCUUCCUCAAAACCAGAGGUUGAGACUGAGCUAAAGUUAAUCUGUGGCGACGUUCUGGAUGUACUGGACAAACACCUCAUUCCAGCAGCUACAACUGGCAAGUCCAAGGUUUUCUAUCAUGAAAUGUAGGUUCUAUACUAACAAUUAACAAGUGUACUUCAAUAAAUUUAAACAUUCUCAGGAAUAGUUGACUUUGUUUCUUUUUUUCUUAGACAUUUCAUAUUAUUUUCCUUAUUAAAUAUAACCAAAAAUCCCACAGAAAUUAACUGAGGAGCCUCUAAAUAUCAACAAAAUUAUCACUUGAUAGACUAGAA
rnacentral:lncRNA from 1 species